rnacentral:misc_RNA from 1 species
UUGCUGGUUCUCUUCUGCUCACUAUGAAGAAAUCUUCCUGCUCGAUUCUCGCCGUGUUGGUGUUGUUCCAGCUCUGCGGUGGAAUUCAUACACGAGUCAUUUCUGAUAUACCUUCACCGGACAAUAACGAGGGUAGCGGUUUCGGAGGUGAUGGAAUUGAAGAGAUCCAAAAUGGAUUCGAAUCGAUCAAUUCUGGGCCGGAAAUUGUUCCGAUAGAGGUCAAUGGAGGAGACCAACAAUAUUUGGAAGGGUUGCCACCUGCUCCAAUCCAAGGAAAUAUGGGUGGUAUUCCAGAGUUCAACAAUGGAUUCGACUUAAUGAAUUUUGAGCCUGAAAAUGUUCCGAUAGAGGUCAAUGGAGAAGACCAACAAUAUUUUGAAGGAUUGCCACCUGCUUCAUUCCCAGAAAACAUGGGUGAUAAUCCAGAGUUCAACAAUGGAUUUGACUCAAUGAAUUUUGAGCCUGAAAAUGUUCCGAUAGACGUCAACGGAGGAGAUCAACAAUAUUUUGAAGGAUUGCCACCUGCUCCAUUCCAAGGAAACAUAGAUUACAUCGUGAGUCAAGGCGAUAAUGAAAACGGGCAAGCAGCCUUCGGAAUUCAGGGUGAAGACGCUGAUGCGGGCAUUCCAGUAGGCAAUGACGAACAGCCAAUUGAUAAUGAUGCCAACGUUGACGUUCAAGAUGAUUCACCGGUCAUUGGAUUUGUAGGACAAAAUACCAUCUUUGACGAACAAGCGCCGCUGAACAAUGCAGGUUUCUCGGAUAACAUGGGUGACCGCUCUGGAGAACAAGCAUCAGCAACCAAUGCAGGUUCCGGUAGUCAAUCUGGUGACAACUCUGGCGAACAAGCACCAGCAAACAAUGCAGGUUCCGGUAGUCAAUCUGGUGAUAACUCUGGUGAACAAGCAUCAGCAAACAAUGCAGGUUCCGGCAGUCAAUCAGGCAGUAGCUCUGGAGAACAAGCAUCAUCAGACAAUGCAGAUUCCGGUAGUCUAUUUGGCAGAGCAUCUGUUGAAUGGAGAAUUAAUUCGACUGCGACAAUUAACGAAGCCGCGACAAACACUGAAGUUGCGACGACGACUGAAGCACAGACAAAUACGGAAGCUGCAACAACUGCUGUAGCUGCAUCAACGACCGAAGCUCAGACAACGACCGAAGCUAGAACAAGUGACGAAGCUGCGUCAACGACCGAAGCUGGAACGGGUGACGAAGCUGCGUCAACGACCGACGCUGGAACAAGUGACGAAGCUGGAACAACUGACGAAACUGCUUCAACGACCGAAGCUGGAACAAGUGACGAAGCUGCGUCAACGACCGAAGCUGGAACAAGUGACGAAGGUGCGUCGACAACCGAAGCUGGAACAAGUGACGAAGCUGGAACAACUGACGAAGCUGCUUCAACGACCGAAGCUGGAACAAGUGACGAAGCUGCUUCAACGACCGGAGCUAGAACGGGUGACGAAGCUGUGUCAACGACCGAAGCUGGAACAAGUGACGAAGCUGCUUCAACGACCGAAGCUGGAACGGGUGACGAAGCUGCAUCAACGACCGAAGCUGGAACGGGUGACGAAGCUGCUUCAACGACCGAAGCUGGAACAAGUGACGAAGGUGCGUCGACAACCGAAGCUGGAACAAGUGACGAAGCUGGAACAACUGACGAAGCUGCUUCAACGACCGAAGCUGGAACGGGUGACGAAGCUGCAUCAACGACCGAAGCUGGAACGAGUGACGAAGCUGCGUCAACGACCGAAGCUGGAACAAGUGACGAAGCUGCGUCAACCACCGAAGCUGGAACAAGUGACGAAGGUGCGUUGACAACCGAAGCUGGAACAAGUGACGAAGCUGGAACAACUGACGAAGCUGUUUCAACGACCGAAGCUGGAACGGGUGACGAAGCUGCAUCAACGACCGAAGCUGGAACGGGUGACGAAGCUGCAUCAACGACCGAAGCUGGAACGGGUGACGAAGCUACUUCAACGACCGAAGCUGGAACAAGUGACGAAGGUGCGUCGACAACCGAAGCUGGAACAAGUGACGAAGCUGGAACAACUGACGAAGCUGCUUCAACGACCGAAGCUGGAACGGGUGACGAAGCUGCAUCAACGACCGAAGCUGGAACGGGUGACGAAGCUGCUUCAACGACCGAAGCUGGAACAAGUGACGAAGGUGCAUCGACAACCGAAGCUGGAACAAGUGACGAAGCUGGAACAACUGACGAAGCUGCUUCAACGACCGAAGCUGGAACAAGUGACGAAGCUGCGUCAACCACCGAAGCUGGAACAAGUGACGAAGGUGCGUCGACAACCGAAGCUGGAACAAGUGACGAAGCUGGAACAACUGACGAAGCUGCUUCAACGACCGAAGCUGGAACGGGUGACGAAGCUGCAUCAACGACCGAAGCUGGAACAAGUGACGAAGCUGCUUCAACGAUCGAAGCUGGAACGGGUGACGAAGCUGCGUCAACGACCGAAGCUGGCACAAGUGACGAAGCUGCUUCAACGACCGAAGCUGGAACAAGUGACGAAGCUGCGUCAAAGACCGAAGCUGGAACAAGUGACGAAGGUGCGUCGACAACCGAAGCUGGAACAAGUGACGAAGCUGGAACAACUGACGAAGCUGCUUCAACGACUGAAGCUGGAACGGGUGACGAAGCUGCGUCAACGACCGAAGCUGGAACAAGUGACGAAGGUGCGUCGACAACCGAAGCUGGAACAAGUGACGAAGCUGCUUCAACGACCGAAGCUGGAACAAGUGACGAAGGUGCGUCGACAACCGAAGCUGGAACAAGUGACGAAGGUGCGUCGACAACCGAAGCUGGAACAAGUGACGAAGGUGCGUCGACAACCGAAGCUGGAACAAGUGACGAAGGUGCGUCGACAACCGAAGCUGGAACAAGUGACGAAGGUGCGUCGACAACCGAAGCUGGAACAAGUGACGAAGCUGGAACAACUGACGAAGCUGCUUCAACGACCGAAGCUGGAACGGGUGACGAAGCUGCGUCAACGACCGAAGCUGGAACAAGUGACGAAGCUGCUUCAACGAUCGAAGCUGGAACGGGUGACGAAGCUGCGUCAACGACCGAAGCUGGAACAAGUGACGAAGCUGCGUCAACCACCGAAGCUGGAACAAGUGACGAAGGUGCGUCGACAACCGAAGCUGGAACAAGUGACGAAGCUGGAACAACUGACGAAGCUGCUUCAACGACUGAAGCUGGAACGGGUGACGAAGCUGCGUCAACGACCGAAGCUGGAACAAGUGACGAAGGUGCGUCGACAACCGAAGCUGGAACAAGUGACGAAGCUGCUUCAACGAUCGAAGCUGGAACAAGUGACGAAGGUGCGUCGACAACCGAAGCUGGAACAAGUGACGAAGGUGCGUCGACAACCGAAGCUGGAACAAGUGACGAAGCUGCUUUAACGACUGAAGCUGGAACAAGUGACGAAGGUGCGUCGACAACCGAAGCUGGAACAAGUGACGAAGGUGCGUCGACAACCGAAGCUGGAACAAGUGACGAAGGUGCGUCGACAACCGAAGCUGGAACAAGUGACGAAGCUGGAACAACUGACGAAGCUGCUUUAACGACUGAAGCUGGAACGGGUGACGAAGCUGCGUCAACGACCGAAGCUGGAACAAGUGACGAAGCUGCUUCAACGACCGAAGCUGGAACAAGUGACGAAGGUGCGUCGACAACCGAAGCUGGAACAAGUGACGAAGCUGCGUCAACGACCGAAGCUGGAACAAGUGACGAAGCUGGAACAACUGACGAAGCUGCUUCAACGACCGAAGCUGGAACGGGUGACGAAGCUGCGUCAACGACCGAAGCUGGAACAACUGACGAAGCUGCUUCAACGACCGAAGCUGGAACGGGUGACGAAGCUGCGUCAACGACCGAAGCUGGAACGAGUGACGAAGCUGCUUCAACGACCGAAGCUGGAACGAGUGACGAUGCUGCUUCAACGACCGAAGCUGGAACAAGUGACGAAGGUGCGUCGACAACCGAAGCUGGAACAAGUGACGAAGGUGCGUCGACAACCGAAGCUGGAACAAGUGACGAAGCUGCUUCAACGACUGAAGCUGGAACAAGUGACGAAGGUGCGUCGACAACCGAAGCUGGAACAAGUGACGAAGCUGGAACAACUGACGAAGCUGCUUCAACGACUGAAGCUGGAACGGGUGACGAAGCUGCGUCAACGACUGAAGCUGGAACAAGUGACGAAGCUGCUUCAACGACUGAAGCUGGAACAAGUGACGAAGGUGCGUCGACAACCGAAGCUGGAACAAGUGACGAAGCUGGAACAACUGACGAAGCUGCUUCAACGACUGAAGCUGGAACGGGUGACGAAGCUGCGUCAACGACCGAAGCUGGAACAAGUGACGAAGCUGCUUUAACGACCGAAGCUGGAACAAGUGACGAAGGUGCGUCGACAACCGAAGCUGGAACAAGUGACGAAGCUGCGUCAACGACCGAAGCUGAAACGGGUGACGAAGCUGCAUCAACGACCGAAGCUGGAACAAGUGACGAAGCUGGAACAACUGACGAAGCUGCUUCAACGACCGAAGCUGGAACGGGUGACGAAGCUGCGUCAACGACCGAAGCUGGAACAAGUGACGAAGCUGCUUCAACGACCGAAGCUGGAACGGGUGACGAAGCUGCGUCAACGACCGAAGCUGGAACAAGUGACGAAGCUGCAUCAACGACCGAAGCUGGAACAAGUGACGAAGCUGGAACAACUGACGAAGCUGCUUCAACGACCGAAGCUGAAACGGGUGACGAAGCUGCAUCAACGACCGAAGCUGGAACAAGUGACGAAGCUGGAACAACUGACGAAGCUGCUUCAACGACCGAAGCUGGAACGGGUGACGAAGCUGCGUCAACGACCGAAGCUGGAACAAGUGACGAAGCUGCUUCAACGACCGAAGCUGGAACGGGUGACGAAGCUGCGUCAACGACCGAAGCUGGAACAAGUGACGAAGCUGCAUCAACGACCGAAGCUGGAACGGGUGACGAAGCUGCGUCAACGACCGAAGCUGGAACGAGUGACGAUGCUGCUUCAACGACCGAAGCUGGAACGAGUGACGAAGCUGCGUCAACGACCGAAGCUGGAACGAGUGACGAAGCUGCUUCAACGACCGAAGCUGGAACGAGUGACGAAGCUGCGUCAACGACCGAAGCUGGAACAAUGACGAAGCUGCUUCAACGACCGGAGCUGGAACAACUGAUGUAGCUGCGUCAACAACCGAAGAUCAGACAACGACCGAAGCUCAGACAACCACCGAAGCUGCAACAACCACAGCACAGACAACGACUGAAGUUCAAACAACAACCGAAGCUCAGACAACUACUUCUGCUCCUACCACAACGGAAACUCCUACCACAGUCGUCACUACUCUUUCUGAUG